GAAAAAGGAAGAAAAGACAAAGGCUGAAUUAUUCCAUAAAUGCAUAGCGAGCUUGUGUCAAGCAACAGAGAAUCCUUUUUGAUAUUUUUAAUUGAGAAGAGAGACAAUUUACUAUGAUAAUUUGGCACCAAUCAACAAGAUAACUACUGAUAACUUUGGAUUUCAAGGUUAAUAUUGGAGGACUGCAGUAACAAUGUAAAUAAAAAUAAUAUCAGGAAUAUUUAAAAGAGGCAGUGAUAAGAAAACUUCUAAAGAAGCCAAAUCUGGACCCAGAGAAUGAAAACUACUAUAGGCCAGAGACCAAAUUUCCCCUCCUAGGAGUACAAAAACAUUGAAUGUUUUAAAUGAGAGACGCUAUUGGAAAAUCAUCUGUCUUACCCUCCUUAUCCUUCGGUUGCUAUGGGAAGAGGCUUAUAUAAUAUGCCAAGAAGAAGACCUGGUUCCAUAUAUGGGCAGCUAUAAACUGAGGAGCACAUACAUUCAUAGUAGUGCAUCUAACCACCAUCACAGCUCAGACACUUUUGUAUAAAUGUAUGAAAAAGCUUCAGUAUUAUGGCUCCUGAAUUAAUAAAUUAGUUCUCAUAUUGCAGUCAUGACAAUCUGAACUUGAAAUUUCUGAUAUAAAGGAAUUUAAGAGUAAUUUGGAAACGAAGAGGAAAAGAAGACAAUCAGUUCUAUGCUAGAAGUACUUUGGGAUACAGAAUGUACUUUUCUGGGAAUUUGCUGCUGAUUUUGCUACAUAUGUUGCUCUGCUCAAUACUGCAAACUAAUUGUAUAAUAGUGCACUAGUAAAAAAAAAUGGAACCAAACCAAACAAAAAGUAUUUUCUAACAACAAUUUUGGAUCACACUUCAGCCUUGCAUUUAAGUUAUGAAAUAACAUUUUAGUUUUACCAGCUU